UUUUGCUAUUUCGAGUGUGGUUAUUCGGUGCAGGAAAGGCGAUAUUUGUUGCGAGAAUUCCCAGAACUAGUUGGGUGUGAGGAGAAUUCUAAGGUUUUGGAGGAGGGGUGUAUCAUGGCAGCACUGUUCUUCCAAUAUUGAGAUAGAGAUGGAGUGUCAGAUAAUUGUCCACAUCCAGAAAAGAGUUGGCAGUGAUGCAACAUUUUUAGUUUUUACACCCUGCUUCUCUUUAUGCUGUUCGUAACUCAAAUUUUAGUAGACAAUCUGAUUUAUUGUCAAGUGAUCUCUGGAAGAAUUACCGUAAAUAUUCCCUAAUAAGCAAUGAGGAUGAGUGUUCCUAUUUAGAACAGUGCUGAAAGUGGAUGGAUUUCACAGCUUGGAAAGCGUAGUGGGCAUAAAGGCAGCUAAAGCAUUAAUGCAUUGGAGCAAGGCAGUUUGGCAGAUGAAGCUUAUAGAGAGGUAGAAAGUUCAGGCAAACAUGGAGAAGGUGGGAGUCAUUAGUCUGGUCACUUUGGUGGAAAGUUUUCCAAAUUGUAAUUGCAAGGGUGAGAGAGGAAAAGCGUGGGACGAAACUAGAGGAGCGGAGGAAGGUUCGCAUUGUGAUCAUUACAACAUGAAGACUAUGCAAGCAGAGAUUGCUGGUUUGUUGAAAAAAGUGGAAUAUAGGUGGGCUAGCGGCAUCAUUUCUAUCAGCCCUUUGAAAGGUCAACAUCUGAAGUCCACAACACUGUCUCAGUCGUGAAGCCAACCAGUGCUAGUUGUCCCCCAAGGUUCAGUAGUUGCCCACAAGACUCAUCUGAGGGAAUCUGAGCUGGUGUUGUAGAGAAAAGUUCUUUCUCGAUAUCAAAUGACAGGAUCAUUUUUGUAGAGUGAUUCAGCCAGUGAAUGCUACCUUUGUGCUGCACGCAUAAGUCUUCCUGCACAUACACUUGGCUCUCCAUAACCAAAGGAUAAAAAAGUGAAACAUUGUCUUGGUGCGUAUUCCAUUUGAAGCUCCUGGAGAACAGAAUCAACCCCCUUGCUGAUUGUCCCCUGUAGUGAUCAGUGUAUGCCUCCUCCGGAUGAACCAACUCACCAUCAAAGUUCCGGGUCAAAUCCAAUACGAUGAGAUUAAUAGCCUUGGUGGAGGCAGCUUCUAUUGGCUCAAUCGGGACAGAAUAAAAAGUCUGAGUUGAAGCAGUCCAUGUGCUAAAGAGAGUGUGCACGGAGUGUCUUCUAUUGCUACUCAAUGAUUCAUGUUCUGCUAGAAAAGAACGGGACCGAAUUGAAUUGUAAAACCAUCUGCUUGCCAUUUGAAAGACCCGGAGGGACUCCGAUGAGCACUUGAUCAUCACACGGUGUAAUUCGUCGUGAGAUAGAGGUGAAGCUUUAAUAGCUUCUCUAGUCUCAUCCUCCCCUGCAUCUUUUGA